rnacentral:rRNA from 1 species
UACGUAGGGUGCGAGCGUUGUCCGGAAUUAUUGGGCGUAAAGGGCUCGUAGGCGGUUUGUCGCGUCGGGAGUGAAAACACCGGGCUUAACUCGGUGCUUGCCUUCGAUACGGGCAGACUAGAGGCAUGCAGGGGAGAACGGAAUUCCUGGUGUAGCGGUGAAAUGCGCAGAUAUCAGGAGGAACACCGGUGGCGAAGGCGGUUCUCUGGGCAUGUCCUGACGCUGAGGAGCGAAAGUGUGGGGAGCGAACAGG